GAGUCUGAAUAUCAGCUGUGCUUCCUUCUCUUUCCUGUGGCCACUGUGGAUCCCCAAUGGCACCAAUGUUAGAAGAAACUCCAAGAGCUGACAAACGGUUGGAGAAGAAGGGGCAGCUGCCAGCCUCCCCAGGCUGUACCUGCAGCGUCCUUGACUCUUACACACACCCUUGCUGCCUUCCGCACCCUCAGGUGCGGCUCUAAUUUAGGAACAGAUGGUGGGGCCUGGAUUGAAGAACCUUUGGACAAAGUGAGCCCUGACUUCUGACCCUCUGACUCAGGGAGGGUUUUCCUGCUCUGGAUUCUGAGGAAGCCUGUCACCCCCGACUCCUCCUCCUGGGGGGCACCAUCUAACGAAGUCCUCCUGCUGGUCUUACUGGUAGCCCAGAACCUGGAGAGAAGUCCCCCUGCCACUGUCCAGAUAUGCCACAGAUUCCAACGCUUCAGAGAGAUGUUCUACCAGGAGGCAGACUUCUCCAACCAGACAGCAAAGUGUGGCCUCGGGGAGCACCACAGUGAG